rnacentral:misc_RNA from 1 species
GCAUUUCCUUCAUUGUGUGUUUAACUGUGUGUGAGGAUAUGAGAACCUGGUGUUUGCUUUUACUUAUUUUCUUGAGCUGCUAGUAUGGCUGAUCUAAGGCAGCAUAACUAUUGGCUAAACUGAUGUAUGUCUUGGACUUAGUCGUUUGCUUGGACUUCUUUUCCUAAGCGUUGCCAGAGGUUUUCAAGUACUUGAUGAUUAUCAUUGUAGGGUACUGGAAACAUGAACUUCAAGUACGUUAGAUUUGAACAAAGUUUUGUUUUCUCUGUAAUGGGAGGAUUGGUACUCAAUUUCCUAAAUCUAUCUGUGUAAAUAUGGAACUUAAAACUGAAUUUGGCAGAUGGGAUGAUACAUAGCAUUCUGUGUCUAGUAUGACAUUGUUUGAAUUGUUUAGAUGAGUUGGAGUUUUGCUAAUGCUUUGGUUGUACCUAUGUAAGAGCAACGCAAGAAAAUUAUAUUGAUUGGAAAUGGAAGUUUUGAUUGGAAAAGCAUAUUCACAACUCACAUAUAUUCUUUUGUGCACAUAUUUAAACACAAAAUUUGUUCUUUAGAGUUUGGACUUUGGAGAUGUCUUUUUUCACUUCUAAACUUGCUGCUGUUUUGACUGAUGCUUACCAAAGUUUCUUGUCAAUUGCCACAGAUAACUCAAAUAAUAUAGAUUUUUUUUUUCUUUUCUAAAAGUAUUGAGUUCUUGCUUUUUCUUGUCAGGACUGACAAUAUGAGCCGGUGCAUUUUAAUUUCCCUUUUUCAAGUUGCAUGCUAAGUGGUAGAUAUUGUUAGACAUCUCCACAGUUUAUUGAUUUUCAUAUUUCUGCCAUUUUCUUUUACCUCCAG